rnacentral:rRNA from 1 species
GAUGAACGCUGGCGGCGUGCCUAAUACAUGCAAGUCGAGCGAACAGACGAGGAGCUUGCUCCUCUGACGUUAGCGGCGGACGGGUGAGUAACACGUGGAUAACCUACCUAUAAGACUGGGAUAACUUCGGGAAACCGGAGCUAAUACCGGAUAAUAUAUUGAACCGCAUGGUUCAAUAGUGAAAGACGGUUUUGCUGUCACUUAUAGAUGGAUCCGCGCCGCAUUAGCUAGUUGGUAAGGUAACGGCUUACCAAGGCAACGAUGCGUAGCCGACCUGAGAGGGUGAUCGGCCACACUGGAACUGAGACACGGUCCAGACUCCUACGGGAGGCAGCAGUAGGGAAUCUUCCGCAAUGGGCGAAAGCCUGACGGAGCAACGCCGCGUGAGUGCUGAAGGUCUUCGGAUCGUAAAACCCUGUUAUUAGGGAAGAACAAAUGUGUAAGUAACUAUGCACGUCUUGACGGUACCUAAUCAGAAAGCCACGGCUAACUACGUG